rnacentral:tRNA from 1 species
GACAGGAUGGUGUAGUGGUUUGAGCAUUGGACUAGGACUCUGGAGACCAGGGUUCGAUUCCCUGCUUGGCCG